CUUGUACUGCAGGCCACGCUGUGUCCCCAAAGUUACUGUGCUGACAUUUAUUCUAGAGCAGCUUGAGUCCCAAAUGGGAGCAAGGGUGUCCUCUCCUCCUUCCUUCCUUUCACAGUUCCCUCUGGCUAGAAAAGGGUAGGCUUUUCCCUCUUUCUUUUCUCCCUGGACUUUUCUUACAUAUACAAAAUUCUCUGGUCUCUUAACAAGGCCUGAUCCUUUAUAAGCUAAAGGAGAUAGAGGAAUUUAGAUAAUCCUUUCUCAGGAUCAAAGCUUGGCUUUUGACUUCCAGAAGCUUAAUGUCAGCUGAGACUUUCUCUGCUACUUUACUGGAACUCAUCCUAAUAGGCAGGUGGAUGCUUCUAGAGAAGAACCAAGAUUUAUUCCAAGGAAGGCAAAAACAAGAUCAUGGCUUCUCUGGUGGCUCAGUGGUAAAGAGUCUGCCUUCUAAGGCAGGAGACACAGGUUCGAUCCCUGGUCUGGGAAGAUCCCACAUGCCGCGGAGCAGCUAAGCCCGUGUGCCACAGCUACUGAGCCUGUGCUCCACAUCAGCGGAAGACACCACACUGAGAAGCCCAAGCGCCACAGCUAGAGGGUAGCCCCUGCUCGCCACAGCUAGAGACAAGCCUGAGCAGUAACGAAGACCCAGCAAAGCCAAAAAGAGAUACAUAAGAUUAUAAAAUAAAUAAAUAAAUGUUAUCUCACUUGAA
ensembl:lncRNA